rnacentral:rRNA from 1 species
UCUACGGGCCGCAGCAGUGGGGAAUAUUGGACAAUAGGGGCAACCCUGAUCCAGCGACGCCGCGUGAGUGAAGAAGUAUUUCGGUAUGUAAAGCUCUAUCAGCAGGGAAGAAAAUGACGGUACCUGACUAAGAAGCUCCGGCUAAAUACGUGCCAGCAGCCGCGGUAAUUCCGGUGGCCAGCUUA